UACAGAGGUGGCAAGCGUUGUUCGGAAUUACUGGGCGUAAAGGGCUCGUAGGCGGCCAACUAAGUCAGACGUGAAAUCCCUAGGCUCAACCUAGGAACUGCGUCUGAUACUGGAUGGCUUGAAUCCGGGAGAGGGAUGCAGAAUUCCAGGUGUAGCGGUGAAAUGCGUAGAUAUCUGGAGGAAUACCGGUGGCGAAGGCGGCAUCCUGGACCGGCAUUGACGCUGAGGAGCGAAAGCCAGGGGAGCAA
rnacentral:rRNA from 1 species